GAGCACCGCACGUCGCGUGGUG
rnacentral:snRNA from 1 species